AUGGCGAACCACCCAUUCGCCUCCGCCUCAGCCGGGGCGACCUCGAGGUGCGCGGGCGCGGCUCCCAGCACCGGCAAGCUCACCUGCCUCUGCUCGCCGACCAACCACCCGGGCUCCUUCCGCUGCACCCGCCACCGCAACCCGCGGGGGCGACCACAGACGUCGUCGGCCGGCCGCGCGUCGCAGCAGCCUGCUGCACCGGGAGCCAGCGCGACGGUGCGCGUCGAGGGAAUCAUCAGGAGCGGCGCCGGCGGCAGGGCAACCACCAAGGGCCGGUCCGUCCUGCGCGCGCACCUGCUGCGGCUGGUGAGCGCGCCAUCCUCCGCCGGCCGCGACCACCGCCGCUGCCGCGACUUCAUGCCCCGCCCGUCAAGGCUGGGCCGACCCGCGGUGACCGCGUGA
rnacentral:rRNA from 1 species